UCUAAGAAAGAAUCCAGAAUAGCUUCAUCUUCAACUAAGAAGUUUUAUAAAAGUGACUGCCUCCCUUUUCCUGGGCUGAGAAGGAAAGCGCUUAGCCAGAUCAUCUCCAUCCAUUUACUUGAAAUCAGAGGCUCUUCUUUCUUCCUUCCAUACCUACAGCUUUAUGAGCCAGGCACACUCCGAUCAAUUUGGAGCAAUUCAUGUCAGCAGUCUGGAAUUGGACGGUAACUCUCUUGGGCUACUUCCCUGACAUCUGGAAUCCAUGAAGAGUUCCAGACAUUGCUGGAAGCAGAGAUGGAGAAGGUGUUACCCACACUGGUUCUGGUACCUGGGACCCAUUUACCCUGAGGAGAAAUUAUCCAGGUAGCAUGCUGGCUUAGCGCCGAGACCACCAAGCAAAGAUUCUACCACUCGGCUUGAGGAGUGAGCUCUUACACUAACUGUCCUCCGCACCAUACUGAUGAGAUGGGGCACAUCCAGACACUGUCACCAAGUUAAAUAAAUGUGUGUCAACUCAAAACCGAGAUGAGAAAUGGCAGAGUGUUUUAUGGAUUCAGAGUCAAGAAGCUGUUGAGAAUGUUUUGCCUGAGUGCCACCAAGAUGAUGAGAUCAUCCUCCACUGAAGACAAGCAGAACUGCAGACUCCAUCUCAUUCUCCUUGUCUGCAAAUCCCUCCAUAACUCACUACCAUGUGCAGAGACUGACAGCAGGGCAGGACAAAGCAGAUGUCCUGGGACUCCAGGAGGAAAGGAGCCCAGCGCACAACCCCCUCAGGUUGCUCAAGAAGACCAGGAAGUCCAAUGCCCCAGGGGACUGAAGAGAUGACAAAAAGAGGCCGAGAAAAUCCAGUUCCUUCUAUGAGCAAACUGGUGCCUUGAACAUGGGAUCCAAGUGCCCUGAGAAAACAACAUCUCUUGAUAGGUGGAAAACAGGAUUAACAUCAUGAUUUAAUUAUUAUACCAAAUACAUCAUGGACAAUCUGUGGGACUCUAAUAAAUCAAACAGGCAUAGGAGGAAAAAUAAGAGAAAGAAUGAUGGUAAGACAGAAAUAAGAAGAGAGAGUUGUGUGUAAAAAUGAAAGAAUUAAUGAAGAAGAGCAAAGGAAAGACACAGAAACCUGAGAACUUAAAGAAGGAAGGAGAAAAGUAAGAAAACUGGGCAGAAAACAGGCAGAAUUGGUCCUUUUGUGUAAGGUAUCUUUGCCCCAAAUCACAGGAUUGAAAAAUACCUUGAUAAUGGUUUAAUACUAUAGUUUUCCUUCUACUGCCUUAUGUCCAUCAUCCUACUUCCAUUCUAAAAUGUUAAAACACCAAGCACCAUCAUUCCCUCCUUCCUACUCUAACCUUUAGCGUUUUCACAGUUUUCUUUAGGCAAGAAUUUCAAGUUUGGAGCAAAUGGUUUGGGAUUAUUUUUUCUAGAACGAGAACAAGCUCUUUCAUGUGGGAAAACAGAUGAUCAAAAGUUAAGAGUGAUCUAAACUAUUGGAGUUCCAGGCAUUCUGAGAUUUUAGAAAUGGCUGACUUACAGGCAUCACCCCUAAAAUUGGGAUAAAUAUUUCUCUAAGUUACAGAGUCAUUGUAAAAAUGCGAUGAAUUAAUGUUCCUAAAGCCUCUAGGGAUGAGGCAUAUAACAAGAGGUCAGUAGUUAUAUUUUGAAUGAAGAUUUGUGCUUGAAUUGUUGUUGUUGUUUUUUAAUAUUUUUUUAUUUAUUUUUGA